UACGUGGAGGGCAAGCGUUGUCCGGAAUUAUUGGGCGUAAAGAGCGUGUAGGCGGUCCGGUAAGUCAGCUGUGAAAGUCAAGGGCUCAACCCUUGAAAGCCGGUUGAUACUGUCGUGACUAGAGUCCAGUAGGGGAGCGUGGAAUUCCUGGUGUAGCGGUGAAAUGCGCAGAUAUCAGGAGGAACACCAGCGGCGAAGGCGGCGCUCUGGGCUGGCACUGACACUGAGGAGCGAAAGCGUGGGGAGCAAACAGG
rnacentral:rRNA from 1 species